rnacentral:rRNA from 1 species
GUACACUCCUGCGGGAGGCAGCAGUGGGGAAUUUUGGACAAUGGGCGAAAGCCUGAUCCAGCAAUGCCGCGUGUGUGAAGAAGGCCUUCGGGUUGUAAAGCACUUUUGUCCGGAAAGAAAUCCUUGGCUCUAAUACAGUCGGGGGAUGACGGUACCGGAAGAAUAAGCACCGGCUAACUACGUGCCAGCAGCCGCGGUAAUACGUAGGGUGCGAGCGUUAAUCGGAAUUACUGGGCGUAAAGCGUGCGCAGGCGGUUUGCUAAGACCGAUGUGAAAUCCCCGGGCUCAACCUGGGAACUGCAUUGGUGACUGGCAGGCUAGAGUAUGGCAGAGGGGGGUAGAAUUCCACGUGUAGCAGUGAAAUGCGUAGAGAUGUGGAGGAAUACCGAUGGCGAAGGCAGCCCCCUGGGCCAAUACUGACGCUCAUGCACGAAAGCGUGGGGAGCAAACAGGAUUAGAAACCCUGGUAGUCCC